rnacentral:ncRNA from 1 species
AUCGUAAUGAUACCGGCAGCAGGUCUCCAAGGGUAGCAGCCUCUGGUCCAUAGAACGGUGGAGGUUAGGGAAGUCGCCAAAAUAGAUCCGUAACUUCGGGAAAAGGAUUGGCUCCAAGGGUUGGCUCUGUCGGGAUGAGACUAUUAAAGAUUCUAUUAAACAGAAUUAUGUAAAAUCCAAAUACUUCAAUCUAAGUAACAAAGCUCUGUAGGUGGAGUGGCCCAGCCAAUAAAUUGGUUAAAGUCUCAUAGGCAGACAAUGAACAUCCAACUUAGAACUGGCAGUGAAUAGGGAAAGACGCAUUGUCUGUGGCCUCUAUCGCGAAGUAAUCAUCGGGGGUACUUUCUUCACGUGAGU